rfam:Phaethon lepturus contig4049, whole genome shotgun sequence.
GAAAUGGUGUUUUUUAACACCACCUAAAGAGUCAUACACUUCAGG